GGGGGCGACUGGCUUCGACGGGGGUUGCGAAGUUCAAGUUGCAUGCCGUGGCGCUGUUACCACGUUAAAAGGCAGCACAAAAAACAAACGCCAACUCAGAACUGGCACUCGCAGCUUAAUAAAGCUGUGCGCUUCUCCGGCGAUGUCUGUUAACCGGAAUCAAGCGUCGACUAGCAGGCUGGUCUGAAGGGAUUGCACUCGAUCUUCAGGCGAGACUUAGAGAGCUGGGAUUUGAAAAAGCCUUUUUGCCGGCGUUUUCAGAUCUGAGAACCGAAAAGACAGAAUAAGCAUGUAGAAGCUUGGAUGUAGUACUUCCGGACCCGGGUUCGAUUCCCGGCGCCUCCACCA
rnacentral:tmRNA from 1 species